UCUACGGGGUGCAGCAGUGGGGAAUAUUGGACAAUGGGCGAAAGCCUGAUCCAGCCAUGCCGCGUGUGUGAAGAAGGCCUUCGGGUUGUAAAGCACUUUCAGUGGGGAAGAAAGCCUUGGGGCUAAUACCCUCGAGGAAGGACAUCACCCACAGAAGAAGCACCGGCUAACUCCGUGCCAGCAGCCGCGGUAAUACGGAGGGUGCGAGCGUUAAUCGGAAUUACUGGGCGUAAAGCGCGCGUAGGCGGUCUGAUAAGCCGGUUGUGAAAGCCCCGGGCUCAACCUGGGAACGGCAUCCGGAACUGUCAGGCUAGAGUGCAGGAGAGGAAGGUAGAAUUCCCGGUGUAGCGGUGAAAUGCGUAGAGAUCGGGAGGAAUACCAGUGGCGAAGGCGGCCUUCUGGACUGACACUGACGCUGAGGUGCGAAAGCGUGGGUAGCAAACAGGAUUAGAUACCCAGUAGUC
rnacentral:rRNA from 1 species